rfam:Prunus persica cultivar Lovell chromosome G2, whole genome shotgun sequence.
UAGAUUGGGAUGAAGCAAUCAUAUUAUCCAACACUUGAUCUGAGAUAUUCAAUAUCGAGUGAUGCUAACUGAUACACUUCUGAAUCUAA